rnacentral:lncRNA from 1 species
GAGGCUUCGAUGACAGCUCGGACCGGGUCUUCGACUCCAGGGGCGGGGGCGACCCGGGAGCCUUCCAUUGUGCGCGCCCCUUCCUCUCCCCGCCCCCGCCCUCGCCCCCGCGGCUUCGGGCCGCAACCCCAGCUGCCGCCUGCGCCUCCCGUUUCCCCCGGGUAGGAGACAAUAUGUUCAGCCCUUCUCUGACCCUUUCUCACCGGAUGAAGAUGGCCGUCGCCCGAGCUUUCUCUUGUCC